AAAUUCAAAAACCAAAAAAAAAC
rnacentral:sRNA from 1 species